rnacentral:rRNA from 1 species
AUGGCCGUCACUCUUUGGUCCAUCUGGUAUGCUAGGCGCAAGGCAGUUUACGAGGCCAUCUUUCAAAGUCCGCAGAACAUUAUUUCGUUUGUUAACAAUUUUAUUGCGGAACUGGGGCAAUUGGAAAAGCGAGAAGAUGGAAGGAGAGCACCGGCUGCUCCGGCUGUUCAGCAGAACCGGUGGCUACCACCGCCCACUGGUGCCGUCAAGGUGAACGUGGAUGGGGCAGUAGUUAGGUCACACCAUGGAGGAGCUGUCGCUGCAGUAUGCAGAGAUGAGGCAUGCUUAUAUCUGGGCUCUUCGGCGAUCGUUUUUCAGGGUAUAAAUGAUCCCCUUGUCCUGGAGACAUAUGUGUGCCGAGAAGCAUUAGCUUUGGCGGAUGACCUUGCAGUGCAAUCUAUUUGCGUCGCCUCGGACUGCCAGGGAGUUGUGACACAUAUCGCGAGGGGGGCUGGAGGCCCAAAUGCUGCCAUAGUACAUGAAAUCAAGGAACAUUGUAAUAGUUUUAUCUCUUGUUUUUUCGUUCAUGAGCGCUGGAAUCAUAAUUUUGAGGCUCAUAAUCUCGCCAAGUUCACUUCUAACUUAAGUGUAGGUAGACAUGUGUGGUUGGACAUACCUCAUGACCCAAACCUUGUACCUAUAUAG